GGCUCCAUAGUUCAGUGGUUAGAGCACUGGUCUUGUAUACCAGAGGUCAUGAGUUCAGUCCUCACUUGGGGCUC